AGGGAGUGGGGUGAGCUACUAGAGCCCAGUGAGCAGAAUAAUAAAAUAUUGUAUUAAAAGUUCAUGCUUUCAUGGAAUGCAACACAUCACAAACAAAUCACAUCAAGGAUGAAUUUGUCACCAAUAGCCCUCUACAUUUCCAUUAGUGCCAGAAUGUAGAAUGGGUCCUGGUCUUUCUCUUACAUAACAUAACAUAACAUUCCAAGAUGCCAGGGAC
rnacentral:lncRNA from 1 species